UACGUAGGGGGCAAGCGUUAUCCGGAUUUACUGGGUGUAAAGGGAGCGCAGACGGCAGUGCAAGUCUGGAGUGAAAGCCCGGGGCUCAACCCCGGGACUGCUUUGGAAACUGCAUAGCUGGAGUGCUGGAGAGGCAAGCGGAAUUCCUAGUGUAGCGGUAAAAUGCGUAAAUAUAUGUAAGAACACCGGUGGCGAAGGCGGCUUGCUGGGCCUGUACUGACAUUGAGGCACGAAAGCGUGGGGAGCAAACAGG
rnacentral:rRNA from 1 species